AGUAACCAAGCUGCCAUCUCCUUCCUCACCAACCUUGCACGCGCCACUUUUGAUCUCGGCGUCGGAGCCACCAUCUUCAACUCCGUGCUCUACAGUGUAGACGACGUCCAAGCUCUGGCGCACGAGAGCUUGAUUCGUUGCCAAGUUCGAUCUCCUAGCCGGAAGCCCCUCGGAAAUCUCCAAGCUUGAUUAGUUUUCUUGAUUCGAAUGAGGUGGAAAUCCAAGAUGGGUCAGCAAAGAUUGUGUCUUUGAUUUCUCUACGGUUCAUUCACCGACUUCGACUUCGACUCCGAUGAAGAUGAUGGAGCUGAGAAACUCAGGCAUUACAGGGGCAGUCUUUAAAGCAAUAGAAAGAGAACUUUGUGGCUGCAACCAUGUAACUUCAGAGUUCAAGUUGCAUCCAUGGAGGAACGUGAUGCUUAAUUUCUUCGAUAGAUGUUUUUAUUUGAUUUUGUAGUUAAUUUUUUUUUUAUAUAAUAUGCUGUAGAAUACAUUUGAGUACAUUGUGCCAGAUGGCACUUUUUCUUCUUCAUAUAGUUCUACAAUUUUGCCUCCAACA